rnacentral:rRNA from 1 species
GAUGAACGCUGGCGGCGUGCCUAAUACAUGCAAGUCGAGCGAACAGAUGAGGAGCUUGCUCCUCUGACGUUAGCGGCGGACGGGUGAGUAACACGUGGAUAACCUACCUAUCAGACUGGGAUAACUUCGGGAAACCGGAGCUAAUACCGGAUAAUAUAUUGAACCGCAUGGUUCAAUAGUGAAAGACGGUUUUGCUGUCACUUCUCGAUGGAUCCGCGCCGCAUUAGCUAGUUGGUAAGGUAACGGCUUACCAAGGCAACGAUGCGUAGCCGACCUGAGAGGGUGAUCGGCCACACUGGAACUGAGACACGGUCCAGACUCCUACGGGAGGCAGCAGUAGGGAAUCUUCCGCAAGGGGCGAAAGCCUGACGGUGGAACGCCGCGUGAGGGAUGAAGGUCUUCGGAUCGUAAAACUCUGUUAUUUGGGAAGAACAAAUGUGUAAGUAACUAUGCACGUCUUGACGGUACCUAAUCAGAAAGCCACGGCUAACUACG